GCCUCCAUGGUGGAAUAGGUAGACACAAGAGACUUAAAAUCUCUCGCUCAUUAGGGCAUCCCAGUUCGAGUCUGGGUGGAGGCACCA
rnacentral:tRNA from 1 species